UUUAAUAAACUGUUAUUCAUUUUGUAUUUGCUCAAAGAUACUAAAAAUCACCAUGAAGAUGCUAACUGUGUCUGCAGUUCUCUGUGCAAUGGUGGCUCUAACCACGGCUGCUGAGGCCAGAGAUGAAGUAGAGGGAUUGAUGCCCCCAGCCAAGAGUCACGUGGUCAAGAGGUCCCCUCGUUGUCCUGGUGGUUGGACUAAGUACGGUCAUUGCUGCUUUUUCUUUAAUUCAACAGUCGCGAGUUGGGCUGAUGCUGAGAAAUGCUGCUUGAUCAUGGGGGCACAUCUUGCAUCAGUUCGCAACAUCAAUGAGUACCGUGAGAUUCAGAGGCUGACUGGCAAAAAAGAAAGUUGGAUUGGAGGAACUGAUGCAUCAGAGGGCAAGUAAUGCAGGGACAGCAGCUUCAAGACUUCAAGCUAUGUGCUUAAAGUCAGAUGAUCUGCUUGGACUCUGGGUAGGCUUAACAUUUUGACCUGUCUGAACCAAUAAGUCCAAUUUCUGCCUUCUAGGAGGGUGAGUGGUUGAUAAAGGUAAAUUAGAACACAAUUAUUAAUAUGAAUUCUUAAUGUGUGUGAAUAGUUUCUGUGAUCAAAGACACAAAUAAUAGCAGGUGGUUAACAAGUGUUUGGGCUUUGAUUUGUGUAGAAUUUUACUGAUUUCUACUUUUGAACCUUUCAGUUUUCAAGUGCUGGGAUGAUAUGUGGUGUGAUGCUCAUCUGCCAUCUGUCUGCGCCAAGAAAAUCUGAUCAUUCUUGGACUGACACUGGAGCAUGAAAUUCCCAUAAAACACACACUGAUAUAUGAUGGUGUUUGUGUUUUGCUCGCUCUUACUUCAUUUCGUUUUGGAGCAUUAUAUUUUUCCUCUCUCUGUCAUAACAAAAUGACCAGCCAACACAAGCUGGGCUGUCCAUGAGGCAGCCUUUAAAGCAGUCCUGUCUUUAAUAAGAGCAGGCUAGUUACCAAAGGACUGGUAGUGAUUUUUUUUCUCUGCAAAGAAAA